UACGUAGGGUGCAAGCGUUGUCCGGAAUUAUUGGGCGUAAAGAGCUCGUAGGCGGUCUGUCGCGUCUGCUGUGAAAACUCAGGGCUUAACCCUGAGCUUGCAGUGGGUACGGGCAGACUAGAGUGCGGUAGGGGAGACUGGAAUUCCUGGUGUAGCGGUGAAAUGCGCAGAUAUCGAGGAGGAACACCGGUGGCGAAGGCGGGUCUCUGGGCCGUAACUGACGC
rnacentral:rRNA from 1 species